CACGUAGGGCGCGAGCGUUGUCCGGAAUUAUUGGGCGUUAAGAGCUCGUAGGCGGCCUGUUGCGUCCGCUGUGAAAGCCCGGGGCUUAACCCCGGGUCGGCAGUGGAUACGGGCAGGCUAGAGGUAGGUAGGGGAGACUGGAAUUCCUGGUGUAGCGGUGAAAUGCGCAGAUAUCAGGAGGAACACCGAUGGCGAAGGCAGGUCUCUGGGCAUUAACUGACGCUGAGGAGCGAAAGCAUGGGGAGCGAACAGG
rnacentral:rRNA from 1 species